GAGUAGCUCCCGGGAACACUGUACCUAUUUUUAGCAUUCCCCCUCGGGACUGAAUAAGUAGAUGAGACGGGGCAGGUCACACUUCGGUUCAAAUCGUUUCCCCUUCCUCCUGCAACACCAAAGCCCGGCCCUGAGUCCAAGGGCGGCACACCACAUCUGCGGCAGCAAGUUUCAUCCUGCCCGCUGCUUGGACACAGAGAGAGAAACCUCGGGGUCUGUGUAGACUCGGUCAGCAGGCACAGCCCCCAGAGCACACUGAAUGGGAUCACAUAGUGUGUGUGUGUGAGAGAGAGAGAGACAGAUGACCGGCGUGGGCACGACCGCCUUCUCUCCGGGAUGUAAAGACUAGGACACAGACAUCACACUACCCCCGCCCGAGGGGGUGGGGAAAGGACAAGAGAAGGGCUAUGAGACUACAAAAUUUAUACUACAGGUCAUCAAAAGAUGGAAAGGAGGUCAAAGAGUAGAUUUGAAAAAGGAUACAGAAGGAUAAACGAAUACAAAACCUUGGAAUAAAAAUGCUUAGAAAUGAACACAGUUGUCAUACUAGGCCUCCAUUUUGAAAACCACACGUCAAGCAAGUAUGUCUUAUUUACUAGUUUUACUGCUUUUCUCUUUUAUAUAACCAUCCUUUGGAAUUUCAGGAUUCCAAGAGGUCCUGAGGUGCGUCUUUCAGAA